rnacentral:rRNA from 1 species
UUUUUUAAUUGAAAACUUGUAUGAAUGGUUGAAUGAGAAAUUAGCUGUUUCAUAAAUAUUAUAAUAGAACUUUAUUUUUUAGUUAAAAAGCUAAAAUAAUUUUUAAAGACGAGAAGACCCUAUAGAGUUUUAUAAUUAAUUUUUAUUAAUUAAUUUAUAAUAAUUUUUAUUUUUAUAAAUUAAUUAUUUUGUUGGGGUGACAAUAAAAUUUAUUAACCUUUUAUUUAUUUUUUACAUUAAUUAAUGAUUAAUUGAUCCAAUUUUAUUGAUUAAAAGAUUAAAUUACCUUAGGGAUAACAGCGUAAUUUUUUUUUAGAGUUCUUAUCGAUAAAAAAUUUUGC